rnacentral:lncRNA from 1 species
AGAAAGAAACAAAGUAAGAGGGUAAGGGAAAGAGGGGAGGAAAAAUUCUAGAAUGUAACGGGUAUAUUAGUGACGUGGCGUAACAAACCAAUCAAAUAAAUCAUUUUAAGAAUAUAUGUCCCAUCAUGAUUGUAAAAAAGUAUUUUUAUUGUACUUUUGUUUGAAAAGAAGGAAUAUGAUUGGCUUGUUAUUGAUGACGUGGUGUAAGUGUGACAGUGUAGAAUUCCUCUAUCAUGAGGAUAAGAGAAAGGCUAGAGAGAGAGAGAGAGAGAGAGAGAGAGAGAGAGAGAGAGGGGGACCCCAAAAAAAGAGAAUUAAAUAAAAGAGAAAACCCAAAUGGCUUGUGUCAACUAAAUCAAGUACUUUAUUAAGCAAAACCCAGGGUGGUAGCAUUGAAGGUCCCCAAAAUUAAGUAAGGUGUUUUUUCAGAUCUUCCUUGUUUGGACUCUAACACUUGCUUUGAUCACUGAACUUUGAUUCCUCUCUCUGUAUUCUUCUCACUAUUUUACACCCCUAGUUACCAAGGUGGUGGAAGUGAAGUGGCUUAAUUAUAUAUAACAUACAUAUAGACACUACCAUCUCUCUCUCUCCCUCUCUCUCUCUCUCUCUAUCUAAUCUCCUAUUUUGUGCUCUCUUUUAUUAGAGAGUAGAGGAGAAUCUAAUAAGUAGAAAGAGCAGGUUCCCUUGUGUGAGAUCUUAAAAUGCAAUAUAUUGUACUGGCUUAAUUGCUGAGUUUGUUCUAUCUCUUGCUUUGAGCACUGUGCUUUGUUCAAAGCUUGUUGUCUUUCACUCUCUACCUCUCUAAAUUAAUAUUCCUUCCCCCCGAGCCAUCAUUUGGUUGCUGGGCCCCCUCAUCUCCCCCUGCUGGUGUUAGUGCUGCUCCCCUUUGAUUGAUAGCAUCAUGCUAAUGUUUUUUUAAUUCAAUAAAUAUAAUAAUGAAAGAUAAUAAUAAUAAUGCACUAACAUCAUGAAACUCAAUUGCUACUGUGUGGAGCUAAAUUGAGAAAGGAGAGAUUCUAAUCUUCAGACAUGUUGGAAAGGAAUAAAACAUUUAUUUAUUGCCUGUGUGUGUCAUCUCCUUCCAAAUUAAAUCCUUGAAAUAAACCAAUGAAAGCCUGGUCAUUUAAUUUAGAUAUUUUCUUUGUGCAGGGAAAGAAAUAAUAAAUUUAUUAAGUUUAGGUCACUGUACCAUAGAUCAAUUUGAUUGGAACAGCUCAACAAAAAAAAGCAAAUUUUCUUUAAUUUCUUUUACCAUCAAAUCAGGCUAUAUUGGAAUGCUUAGUGCCCCCGCAAAAUUUCGGUGUCAUUAUAUAUUCUUAUUAGUUUUUCUUUUGGAAUAAUUAAUUUCUCUACUCUAAAAAGUGUUGAUACAAAAUAUUGUAACAUUAACAAUAGGCUGGAUUUUUAGUUUUUUGCCAAAAAAAGUGAAAUGAGCUUCCAUAUCUUAAUAAAAUGUCUUAUUUAGAGACUGUUUUUCCCUCUCAUAAUGAAAAGCUUAAUUUGUUAACCCUUUUUUAAAAAAAGCCUAACUUAGAUAAAAAAUAUUAUUAACAAAACAAUGUUAAGACCUGUAAGACCUUUAGAUAUAUAUUUGUCGGCGCUUAAAUUGAAAAGCAGUAAAUAAUGAUAUAAAUAGUAAAAAAAAUUUAAAUCACGAAAUAUAGAUAUAAAGAAACUAAUCAAUAAUUCUAAAAUAUCAUGCAUCCACAUAUACUGAUUCUUUUGAAACAGCCAAAUUCAAAUAACACUCAGCAAAAAAAAUUGAGAACAUGCCAAAAAAAAAAAUUGCUACAGGAAUGGUCAAUUAUGAAAGGCAUGCAUGGAGUCACCAAGACACAUAUGUAGAGAUCUUUUAUAUCAAAUUUGCACCUCCCUUCUCAUGAAUUAACCAUUAGAGCCCCAUUAAAAUUUAAUAAAUGUAUCAAAUGAUGGGUGGGGUGUGAAUAUACUCUCCUCAAUCAUCAAAUCCCCACUUCACCAUAAUAGGAAGCAUGCAGUUCAUAGUGUCCUUCUUUUUGCUGAUUCAAAGGUAAAUAAUGAUUUACCUUGAAAGAAAUAUAAAAAAAAAGUAAAAUAUUCCUACUCUUUCACUUUUCACUUAUUAAAGUCCUUGUCUCAAUCUAUUGCUAUACUCAGCUUUUACUUCUUCUUUUUUUUUUAACUACUUCCUCAAGUGGGAGAUUUUCAACUACGUGCACGAGAGCCCAAGAGAGGAGGGAUUAAUUAUUCCAUGCACAUAGUACACUCGUGCUCCAUGCAUGGUUGCUGUAAAUGCUCAAAUCAAAUCAAAAUUAAGUUUAAUUUAUUAAAUGUAUCUUAUAACAUUCAAAAAGUUUAUAUGUUAAAAAUUUUAAAGUUUGACGAUCUAUUUUCUUAUAUAUUACUAAUUAAUUGAGCAAAAUUUCUUUUUUAUUAUUAUUCGACUAAACUUAGAUGUAUAACUACUUGUCAACCUAGACAACUUCCUUCAUAAAAAUAAAUUUUCAGUUCCAAUCUCACUAUAUAUAUAUAUCAAGAAUAGGGUAUGUGCAUGUGACCGACCAACAUCAUAAAAAGAAUUAUUAAUAAUUAAAAAAUUCUAGUAAAUCCAACACAAUUUUUUAUAUACUGUUAAUUUUGGGGCAAUUUGAAGCCUAGCAGAUCAGAUGUUAAAAUUUAUUAUUUGUUACGCGUAACCUUUGGAUAAUUUAAGGUCGUAUUUAUUAGAAUGUAUUUUAAUUUUAUAACAUCAAUCUCCAUACAAAGAUGCAUAAAUAUUGUGCUUUUCUGUCACAAGUAUUCUAGGAUGAUGUUGUAAUAUGUUGUCGAUGAUCGAGGUUUUUGGUUAAUAUAUUCAUACAAACAGUUCAAAAGUGUGUGUAUAUUAUAUAUAUAUAUAGAGAGAGAGAGAGAGAGAGGGGGAAAGAGAGAGAAUUGGGUUGGAAUAUUAUUAAUAGUAUUUGAGCUAUUUUGCUAUCGAUCUUACUAUUAAUAGUGGUUCCCUAGGGUUUAGUGGUGAUCCUCCUAGGGUUGAGUGAAUGGUUGGUUGAUAGUAUGAUUUAAAAGUUAAAAUUGAUUAAAGUAUAGGUCUAACGGUUAAAAAAUUAAUAGCAAAAAAGUCUAAAUACUAUUAAUAGUAUUCCAGUUCAACUCUCUCUCUCUCUUUCUAUAUAUAUAUAGAGUAGGGCUGCUGUGCUCUCAGGAGCACGGAGGCCUCCGUGCUCCUGAGCCGUUUUCGAUGAUGGAAUUUUCGAAUCGAGAUCGGCUCCGUUAGACUUGAUCUAGCACAUUUGAAGUUUCUUGAAAAUAAUUUUUACGAUUUUUUGAUAUCAUUUACCUAGUGAUCGAAAGGAUUCAAAAUCCAUAAUUUUUAAUGGUUGAUAUCUGCCGUUUUUAAGUUUAACGGUGUAGAAGUAUUCAAAUCAAAUGAAAUUUUGAUACAAAAUUCUUUAUACUAUCUACAACAAGGUCAAUAUUUCCGAUCGAAAAUUUUAGUGCUAUAUCACCACUUUUUAUAGAAUUUUUAUUUUCAGCCGUUAAAAAUUAUUGAUUUUAAAUCAUUUCAAUUGCAUUAGGUAAAUGAUAUACGCAAAAAAUCGCAAAAGAAUAUGUUCUAGUAAAUUUUCAAAUGCGCUAGAUCAAGUCUAACGGAUGCCGAUGUCGAUUCGCGAACAUCCAUCAUCGAAAACGGUUGCCGUCCGUUUUCGAUGAUGCGAAGUACUGAUCGCUCUCAUACUUAACGCGUGUCGAUGAUAGAGCUUGCCGAAUUGACAAUCCAUCCGUUAAACAGUUUAUUUACAUAUUUAAAACUUCUGAGAAAUCAAAUUUUAUAUAUUUUUCGCAUCAUUUACCUUACGAUCAAGAGGUCCACAAAUUUGACGAUUUUUAAUGGCCGUGUAUGCGAAUAUUGUUUAGUUUAACGUGGUUGUAAAAUAAUCGCAAAUUUUGUUGAAUUUUUGACUCAGAAAUUCUAUUACUACCAGAUAAAGAUCACUAGCUCCGCGAUCUUGAAUGAAGUCUCCAAUCAUCUUUUAGGACGUCGUUUGAUUGGUUGACCAUUUUUAUGCGCCGCUUAAUGGACUUUUAUUAUGAUUUUGAAAAUUUACAAAAUUUAUUUUCUAGAAGUUUCAAAAUACUCUAGAUCAUAUUUAACGGAAUGGAUCGUCGAUUCGGAAACUCCAUCAUCGAAAACAACUUAUAAGUACGAGGGCUCCAAUACUCAUAAUAGUAUAAUAGCCACGGCCUCUAUAUAUGAAUAUAUCAAUAAUUUAUGUCAAUAUUUUGGAAGACUCACAACAUUUUUCUCGAAAAAACAUACCUCUAACAAU